GGGCCCAUAGCUCAGCAUGGACAGAGUGUUGGACUUCUAAUCCAAUGGUCGGGGGAUCGAGGCCCCCUGGGCCCGCCA
rnacentral:tRNA from 4 species